rnacentral:rRNA from 1 species
AGCGAACGCUGGCGGCAGGCUUAACACAUGCAAGUCGAGCGGGCACUUCGGUGUCAGCGGCAGACGGGUGAGUAACACGUGGGAACGUACCCUUUGGUUCGGAAUAACGCUGGGAAACUAGCGCUAAUACCGGAUACGCCCUUUUGGGGAAAGGCUUGCUGCCGAAGGAUCGGCCCGCGUCUGAUUAGCUAGUUGGUGGGGUAAUGGCCUACCAAGGCGACGAUCAGUAGCUGGUCUGAGAGGAUGAUCAGCCACACUGGGACUGAGACACGGCCCAGACUCCUACGGGAGGCAGCAGUGGGGAAUAUUGGACAAUGGGCGCAAGCCUGAUCCAGCCAUGCCGCGUGAGUGAUGAAGGCCUUAGGGUUGUAAAGCUCUUUUGUCCGGGACGAUAAUGACGGUACCGGAAAAAUAAGCCCCGGCUAACUUCGUG